rnacentral:rRNA from 1 species
GACGAACGCUGGCGGCGUGCUUAACACAUGCAAGUCGAACGGUGAAGCGCUUGCCUUUUUGGUGGGUGUGGAUGAGUGGCGAACGGGUGAGUAACACGUGAGUAACCUGCCCUCUUCUUCUGGAUAACCUCAUGAAAGUGGGGCUAAUACGGGGUAUUCCGGGUCUGUCGCAUGGCGGGUUUGGGAAAGAUUGCGCUUUUGGGUGUUUUCGGUGGGGGAUGGGCUCGCGGCCUAUCAGCUUGUUGGUGGGGUGAUGGCCUACCAAGGCGGUGACGGGUAGCCGGCCUGAGAGGGUGGACGGCCACACUGGGACUGAGACACGGCCCAGACUCCUGCGGGAGGCAGCAGUGGGGAAUAUUGCACAAUGGGCGGAAGCCUGAUGCAGCGACGCCGCGUGAGGGAUGGAGGCCUUCGGGUUGUGAACCUCUUUCGCCAGUGAAGCAGGCCUGCUCCUGUGUGGGUGGGUUGACGGUAGCUGGAUAAGAAGCGCCGGCUAACUACGUG